rnacentral:rRNA from 1 species
ACGCAAUAGAUACCCAGGUAGUCCACGCCGUAAACGAUGAUAACUAGCUAUUCGGGCUCAUGGAGCUUGGGUGGCGCAGCUAACGCAUUAAAUUAUCCGCCUGGGGAGUACGGUCGCAAGAUUAAAACUCAAAGGAAUUGACGGGGGCCUGCACAAGCGGUGGAGCAUGUGGUUUAAUUCGAAGCAACGCGCAGAACCUUACCAGCCUUUGACAUCCUAGGACGGCUACCAGAGAUGGUUUCCUUCCCUUCGGGGACCUAGUGACAGGUGCUGCAAGGCUGUCGUCAGCUCGUGUCGUGAGAUGUUGGGUUAAGUCCCGCAACGAGCGCAACCCUCGUCCUUAGUUGCCAUCAUUUAGUUGGGCACUCUAAGGAAACCGCCGGUGAUAAGCCGGAGGAAGGUGGGGAUGACGUCAAGUCCUCAUGGCCCUUACAGGCUGGGCUACACACGUGCUACAAUGGCGGUGACAGUGGGCAGCAAACCCGCGAGGGUGAGCUAAUCUCCAAGAGCCGUCUCAGUUCGGAUUGUUCU